CACGCGCGGGCUCGCAGCUGUCAGCAGCCGGAGCCCGAGUGAGCGCGGGCUUGAGACCUGCUGAGCAGCGGGACCUGGCGGCUGGCGUUCUGGUGUGGGGCCGAGAACAGACCCUUCUUCUGAAAAGCCACUGGCCCCUUGUUCUAUGAAGUGAGUGGUGUUGACUCUGUAAAAUGCUAUCCUUUGAUGACAUGUGCAUAUCUAGGCUCUGAAGAAAUAUGUGCUGCUUGGCUGUGUUGGUAAUGGACCCAAAAUGUGCACCGUUGGUUGAUGUCACCAAAUAAUCAACUCGGGAUUAUUUUAAUCCCGUGGACAGUGAUUGUUUCCCCUAAAAGGGAAAUAAAUGUAGACUGCGAACACCCAAAACAAAUGUCUAGUGACCAUGAGUUACAAUGCAAAAAUCAGGCUCAGGGAAGGUAAAGAGAGAGUUGACCUUUAGUUACCCAUCUUGACGUUGGACGUCUAUCAGUGCAGUGAACAUGUGGACGGUUUAAGGUCAUAGAGCAACCUUUCUGGAAUAACGAAUACUAUUAGAAAGCAUAGGAAAGAAAUGUCUUGUCAAAUAAUGGAAGACUGGAUAGCAGCUUGGCCAAUCUUCUCACUCAGGAUGGCUGCAUAGAGACAUUGAAGACUCUCGAGGGGACAACAACACAUCAGGGAGACUAUUAUGGCCACGAGAAGGAGUAUAGCAAUAAACUGAGGUACACACCUUAACAGGAGUCUCCACAAACUGAACUGAUCAAAAUUAAACAAUUCAAAGUUCAGGCAAUAAAGAUA
rnacentral:lncRNA from 1 species